GGGUUGUGAGGUUAAGCGACUAAGCGUACACGGUGGAUGCCCUGGCAGUCAGAGGCGAUGAAGGACGUGCUAAUCUGCGAAAAGCGUCGGUAAGGUGAUAUGAACCGUUAUAACCGGCGAUGUCCGAAUGGGGAAACCCAGUGCAAUUCGUUGCACUAUCGUUAACUGAAUACAUAGGUUAACGAGGCGAACCGGGGGAACUGAAACAUCUAAGUACCCCGAGGAAAAGAAAUCAACCGAGAUUCCCCCAGUAGCGGCGAGCGAACGGGGAGCAGCCCAGAGUCUGAAUCAGCUUGUGUGUUAGUGGAACGGUCUGGAAAGUCCGACGGUACAGGGUGAUAGUCCCGUACACCAAAAUGCACAGGUUGUGAACUCGAAGAGUAGGGCGGGACACGUGGUAUCCUGUCUGAAUAUGGGGGGACCAUCCUCCAAGGCUAAAUACUCCUGACUGACCGAUAGUGAACCAGUACCGUGAGGGAAAGGCGAAAAGAACCCCGGCGAGGGGAGUGAAAAAGAACCUGAAACCGUGUACGUACAAGCAGUGGGAGCACCUUCGGGUGUGACUGCGUACCUUUUGUAUAAUGGGUCAGCGACUUAUAUUCUGUAGCAAGGUUAACCGUAUAGGGGAGCCGCAGGGAAACCGAGUCUUAACUGGGCGUUAAGUUGCAGGGUAUAGACCCGAAACCCGGUGAUCUAGCCAUGGGCAGGUUGAAGGUUGGGUAACACUAACUGGAGGACCGAACCGACUAAUGUUGAAAAAUUAGCGGAUGACUUGUGGCUGGGGGUGAAAGGCCAAUCAAACCGGGAGAUAGCUGGUUCUCCCCGAAAGCUAUUUAGGUAGCGCCUCGUGAAUUCAUCUUCGGGGGUAGAGCACUGUUUCGGCUAGGGGGUCAUCCCGACUUACCAACCCGAUGCAAACUACGAAUACCGAAGAAUGUUAUCACGGGAGACACACGGCGGGUGCUAACGUCCGUCGUGAAGAGGGAAACAACCCAGACCGCCAGCUAAGGUCCCAAAGUCAUGGUUAAGUGGGAAACGAUGUGGGAAGGCACAGACAGCCAGGAUGUUGGCUUAGAAGCAGCCAUCAUUUAAAGAAAGCGUAAUAGCUCACUGGUCGAGUCGGCCUGCGCGGAAGAUGUAACGGGGCUAAACCAUGCACCGAAGCUGCGGCAGCGACACUAUGUGUUGUUGGGUAGGGGAGCGUUCUGUAAGCCUGCGAAGGUGUGCUGUGAGGCAUGCUGGAGGUAUCAGAAGUGCGAAUGCUGACAUAAGUAACGAUAAAGCGGGUGAAAAGCCCGCUCGCCGGAAGACCAAGGGUUCCUGUCCAACGUUAAUCGGGGCAGGGUGAGUCGACCCCUAAGGCGAGGCCGAAAGGCGUAGUCGAUGGGAAACAGGUUAAUAUUCCUGUACUUGGUGUUACUGCGAAGGGGGGACGGAGAAGGCUAUGUUAGCCGGGCGACGGUUGUCCCGGUUUAAGCAUGUAGGCUGAUUGUCCAGGCAAAUCCGGAUAAUCAAGGCUGAGGUGUGAUGACGAGGCACUACGGUGCUGAAGUAACAAAUGCCCUGCUUCCAGGAAAAGCCUCUAAGCAUCAGGUAACAUCAAAUCGUACCCCAAACCGACACAGGUGGUCAGGUAGAGAAUACCAAGGCGCUUGAGAGAACUCGGGUGAAGGAACUAGGCAAAAUGGUGCCGUAACUUCGGGAGAAGGCACGCUGGUGUGUAGGUGAAGUCCCUGCGGAUGGAGCUGAGACCAGUCGAAGAUACCAGCUGGCUGCAACUGUUUAUUAAAAACACAGCACUGUGCAAACACGAAAGUGGACGUAUACGGUGUGACGCCUGCCCGGUGCCGGAAGGUUAAUUGAUGGGGUUAUCCGUAAGGAGAAGCUCUUGAUCGAAGCCCCGGUAAACGGCGGCCGUAACUAUAACGGUCCUAAGGUAGCGAAAUUCCUUGUCGGGUAAGUUCCGACCUGCACGAAUGGCGUAAUGAUGGCCAGGCUGUCUCCACCCGAGACUCAGUGAAAUUGAACUCGCUGUGAAGAUGCAGUGUACCCGCGGCAAGACGGAAAGACCCCGUGAACCUUUACUAUAGCUUGACACUGAACAUUGAGCCUUGAUGUGUAGGAUAGGUGGGAGGCUUUGAAGCGUGGACGCCAGUCUGCGUGGAGCCAACCUUGAAAUACCACCCUUUAAUGUUUGAUGUUCUAACGUUGGCCCCUGACCGGGGUUGCGGACAGUGUCUGGUGGGUAGUUUGACUGGGGCGGUCUCCUCCCAAAGCGUAACGGAGGAGCACGAAGGUUAGCUAAUCCUGGUCGGACAUCAGGAGGUUAGUGCAAUGGCAUAAGCUAGCUUGACUGCGAGCGUGACGGCGCGAGCAGGUGCGAAAGCAGGUCAUAGUGAUCCGGUGGUUCUGAAUGGAAGGGCCAUCGCUCAACGGAUAAAAGGUACUCCGGGGAUAACAGGCUGAUACCGCCCAAGAGUUCAUAUCGACGGCGGUGUUUGGCACCUCGAUGUCGGCUCAUCACAUCCUGGGGCUGAAGUAGGUCCCAAGGGUAUGGCUGUUCGCCAUUUAAAGUGGUACGCGAGCUGGGUUUAGAACGUCGUGAGACAGUUCGGUCCCUAUCUGCCGUGGGCGCUGGAGAAUUGAGGGGGGCUGCUCCUAGUACGAGAGGACCGGAGUGGACGCAUCACUGGUGUUCGGGUUGUCAUGCCAAUGGCACUGCCCGGUAGCUAAAUGCGGAAGAGAUAAGUGCUGAAAGCAUCUAAGCACGAAACUUGCCCCGAGAUGAGUUCUCCCUGAGACUUUAAGUCUCCUGAAGGAACGUUGAAGACGACGACGUUGAUAGGCCGGGUGUGUAAGCGCAGCGAUGCGUUGAGCUAACCGGUACUAAUGAACCGUGAGGCUUAACCUUACAACGCCGAAG
rnacentral:rRNA from 2 species